UACGUAGGGGGCUAGCGUUGUCCGGAUUUAUUGGGCGUAAAGAGCGUGUAGGCGGCCAGGUAGGUCUGCCGUGAAAACUCGAGGCUCAACCUCGAGACGUCGGCGGAAACCAUCUGGCUAGAGUCCGGAAGAGGAGAGUGGAAUUCCUGGUGUAGCGGUGAAAUGCGCAGAUAUCAGGAAGAACACCCGUGGCGAAGGCGGCUCUCUGGGACGGUACUGACGCUGAGACGCGAAAGCGUGGGGAGCGAUCCGG
rnacentral:rRNA from 1 species